rnacentral:lncRNA from 1 species
UAUCAAAAAUUAAAAAUUUAAUUUAAUUCAUAAUUUAAACUCAAAUUUAAAUUUUAAUAUAAAAUAGAUGGACAGAAGUGCUAUUUUUUAACAAAUUGAUUAUAACCGUUAAUUUUUAUUUCAAAUAUUUUUAACUAAUUGAUCAUAAUUGUUUACAAAUUAAUCAUUAAUUUGUACAUCAUAUUAAUUCAAAAAAAUAAUUUACAAAUUUAUCAACUAAUCUAUUUUUUAAAUUAUUUCUUUCAUAAUAUGUUGAUAGUCCCAAAAUUUAAAAUUUAAAAUUAAUUUUAUAUUUUGAAUUGAAAUAUAAAUUUACAAUAAAUAUUGUGACAAGAAUUUUGGAUAAACAUAAAUUUUUUUCUAUUUUAGAGAUAAAAAGAAAUUAAACAAAUUUUGAAUUAAAAUAUAGAUUCACAGUAGAUAUUUUUUGGUUGCAAAAAUUUGGAUAAGUGUUUUUUGUUUUUAGUUUAGAGAUAAAGAGAAAUUAAAAGGUUGUUUCAUUACGUUAUUUAUUUUAUAUAAGGAAAGAAGAAUCAUUUUUUUUUUCCGCUUGGAUUUAUUGAUAGAUCAAAAUUUGAAAUACGUGAUUUAUAUAUAGUAUAGAUAGUGUAGAUAUUAUAUUAUAGAUAGAGAUAAAAAAAAUUAACUAAAUUUUAAAUUAAAAUAUAGAUUCAUAAUAGAUAUUCUUCGGUUGGCAAAAAUUUGGAUAAGAAUAAAUUAUUUUUUAUUGUAGAAAUAAAGAGGAAUUAAAAUUUUGCUUAAUUCUGUUAUUUAUUUUACGUAAGGAAACAGAAAUCAAUUUUUUUUCUAAGUCCCGCCGAAAAAUGGGUCUAUCGACAGACCCAAAUUUGAAUAUACGUGCUUUUAUAUAUAGUAUAGAUAUACACUAAA